GGCACUCCCGGCUUCCAUGGCUUGACGGGCGGUGUGUACAAGGCCCGGGAACGUAUUCACCGGAUCAUGGCUGAUAUCCGAUUACUAGCGAUUCCAGCUUCACGGGGUCGAGUUGCAGACCCCGAUCCGAACUGUGACCGGUUUUAUAGAUUCGCUCCUUCUUGCGAAGUGGCUGCUCGCUGUACCGGCCAUUGUAGCACGUGUGUAGCCCAGGACGUAAGGGCCGUGAUGAUUUGACGUCGUCCCCACCUUCCUCGCGGUUUGCACCGGCAGUCCCGUCAGAGUCCCCAACAUUACUUGCUGGCAACUGACGGCAGGGGGUUGCGCUUCGUUAUAGGACUUAACCUGACACCUCACGGCACGAGCUGACGACAAACCAUGCAGCACCUUGCAAAAUGUCCGAAGAAAAGUCUAUCUCUAAACCUGUCAUUCUGCAUUUAAGCCCUGGUAAGGUUCCUCGCGUAUCAUCGAAUUAAACCACAUGCUCCACCGCUUGUGCGGGCCCCCGUCAAUUCCUUUGAGUUUCAUUCUUGCGAACGUACUCCCCAGGUGGGAUACUUAUCACUUUCGCUUGGCCGCCCACUGCUCAAGGCAGCGGACAGCUAGUAUCCAUCGUUUACGGCGUGGACUACCGGGGUAUCUAAUCCCGUUCGCUCCCCACGCUUUCGUCCAUCAGCGUCAGUACAUGGUUAGUGACCUGCCUUCGCGAUCGGUGUUCUAUGUAAUAUCUAUGCAUUUCACCGCUACACUACAUAUUCCGGCCACUCCACCAUGACUCAAGACAACCAGUAUCAAAGGCAGUGCUACGGUUGAGCCGCACCAUUUCACCUCUGACUUAAUUGCCCGCCUGCGGACCCUUUAAACCCAAUAAUUCCGGAUAACGCUCGGACCCUCCGUAUUACCGCGGCUGCUGGCACGGAGUUAGCCGGUCCUUAUUCUUACGGUACCGUCACCAGGAUACACGUAUCCCUUAUUCUUCCCGUAUAAAAGCAGUUUACAACCCAUAGGGCCGUCUUCCUGCACGCGGCAUGGCUGGAUCAGGCUUCCGCCCAUUGUCCAAUAUUCCUCACUGCUGCCUCCCGUAGGAGUCUGGUCCGUGUCUCAGUACCAGUGUGGGGGAUCCCCCUCUCAGGGCCCCUACUUAUCGUAGCCUAGGUAAGCCGUUACCUUACCUACUAGCUAAUAAGACGCAUAGCCAUCCUUUACCGUUCGAAAACUAUAACCUAUUAGAAAUGCCUCUAAUAGGUACUACGGGGUAUUAAUCCAAAUUUCUCUGGGCUAUCCCCCUGUAAAGGGUAGGUUCUAUACGCGUUGCGCACCCGUGCGCCACUCGUCAGCGGAUUGCAAGC
rnacentral:rRNA from 1 species